UCUUUUGAGUACCUUCGUUUCCUCGGCGGGUCCGCCCGCCGAUUGGACAAUUUAAACCAUUUGCAGUUGCAAUCAGCGUCUGAAAAAACUUAAUAGUUACAACUUUCAACAACGGAUCUCUUGGUUCUGGCAUCGAUGAAGAACGCAGCGAAAUGCGAUAAGUAGUGUGAAUUGCAGAAUUCAGUGAAUCAUCGAAUCUUUGAACGCACAUUGCGCCCCUUGGUAUUCCAUGGGGCAUGCCUGUUCGAGCGUCAUUUGUACCUUCAAGCUCUGCUUGGUGUUGGGUGUUUGUCUCGCCUCUGCGUGUAGACUCGCCUCAAAACAAUUGGCAGCCGGCGUAUUGAUUUCGGAGCGCAGUACAUCUCGCGCUUUGCACUCAGAACGACGACGUCCAAAAGUACAUUUUUACACUCUUGACCUCGGAUCAGGUAGGGAUACCC
rnacentral:rRNA from 1 species